GAGUGCCUGCUGUGGGCUGGGACUUCAGAAGGAAGAAAAAUCUGGCAUAGUCCCUGCCUUUAUGUGAGUUAGUAAAGGACACUAACAUCAGUCCAGUAAUCACGCCAAGUUGUCUUCAGUCAUGCGGAUAAGGGUUGCAACAAAGGGGGACAAAGGGGGUUACACUGAAGUGAUACUUGAUGUCUACUGCCACUGCCACAUCUCUUUCUCUGACUUUUCUGUUUUUCUCUUCCACAUUUUAGGGACACUUGUGGUUAUGUUGGGCCUGACUGAACAACCUAGGACCAUCUUCCCAUCUCAAGGUCCCUUAAUAACAUCAGCCAAGUCCCAUUUGAGGGCCUGAAGGCUCCACAAAACCUCAACCCACCCCUGACAAACAACAGAGAACCAGGAGCUUAAG